rnacentral:rRNA from 1 species
AUUGAACGCUGGCGGCAGGCCUAACACAUGCAAGUCGAACGGUAACAGGAAGAAGCUUGCUUCUUUGCUGACGAGUGGCGGACGGGUGGGUAAUGUCUGGGAAACUGCUUGAUGGAGGGGGAUAACUACUGGAAACGGUAGCUAAUACCGCAUAACGUCGCAAGACCAAAAAGGGGGACUUUCGGGCCUCUUGCCAUCGGAUGUGCCCAGAUGGGAUUAGCUAGUAGGUGGGGUAACGGCUCACCUAGGCGACGAUCCCUAGCUGGUCUGAGAGGAUGACCGGCCACACUGGAACUGAGACACGGUCCAGACUCCUACGGGAGGCAGCAGUGGGGAAUAUUGCACAAUGGGCGCAAGCCUGAUGCAGCCAUGCCGCGUGUAUGAAGAAGGCCUUCGGGUUGUAAAGUACUUUCAGCGGGGAGGAAGGGAGUAGAGUUAAUACCUUUGCUCAUUGACGUUACCCGCAGAAGAAGCACCGGCUAACUCCGUG